ACGGCUCAGUAACACGUAGUCAACCUACCCUUGGGACGGGGACAACCUCGGGAAACUGAGGCUAAUCCCCGAUAGGCGGGGGACGCUGGGAUGCCCCCUCGCCCAAAGCUCCGGCGCCCGAGGAUGGGACUGCGGCCUAUCAGGCUGUUGGUGGUGUAACGGACCACCAAACCUACGACGGGUACGGGCGAUGGGAGUCGGAGCCCGGAGAUGGGGACUGAGACAAGGCCCCAGGCCCUACGGGGCGCAGCAGGCGCGAAAACUCCGCAAUGCGCGCAAGCGUGACGGGGGGACCCCAAGUGCCGUUGGUCUCUCGAUCGACGGUUUUUAGGAAGUCUAAGAAGCUUCCAGAAUAAGGGCUGGGCAAGACUGGUGCCAGCCGCCGCGGUAACACCAGCAGCCCAAGUGGUGGCCACGAUUAUUGGGCCUAAAGCGCUCGUAGCCGGAUCAAUAAGUCCCUUGUGAAAUCGGGCCGCCCAACGGUUCGGCGUGCAAGGGAUACUGUUGGUCUUGAGGCCGGGAGAGGUCGGAGGUACUCCUGGGGUAGCGGUGAAAUGCUCUAAUCCUAGGGGGACCACCAGUGGCGAAGGCGUCCGACCAGAACGGACCUGACGGUGAGGGGCGAAGGCUAGGGGAGCGAACGGGAUUAGAUACCCCGGUAGUCCUAGCUGUAAAGCAUGCGGGCCAGGUGUCUAGCGCUCCUUGAGGGCGCUAUGUGCCGGAGGGAAGCCGUUAAGCCCGCCGCCUGGGAAGUACGGUCGCAAGGCUGAAACUUAAAGGAAUUGGCGGGGGAG
rnacentral:rRNA from 1 species